rnacentral:rRNA from 1 species
AACUCGACUCCGUGAAGCUGGAUUCGCUAGUAAUCGCGCAUCAGCCAUGGCGCGGUGAAUACGUUCCCGGGCCUUGUACACACCGCCCGUCAAGCCAUGGGAGCCGGGGGUACCUGAAGUCCGUAACCGCGAGGAUCGGCCUAGGGUAAAACUGGUGACUGGGGCUAAGUCGUAACAAGGUAGC